UUAUAAAAGGGCACUACCCGCAGCGUCUGGUUCUCUGACCUCGGCGCACUUCCGCAAGUUUAUCAUUUAACAUAUGGUUUUAUUAUAGUGCCACCGGUCCUGGAGCCUCGAUUCGCCUGAUCUGAGUUACGGCUCGUCAUGUAAAGCUCCUGUGUGGAUUUGCUGUUGAUGCUACAAGCGCCACUGUUCGCCGCUGUCCACGGUCUGACACACUCAAAGGGCUCGGUAUCACACACGCAGACAUCAAACCUGACAAUGUCAUGUUCGUGGACCUGGAGGAGCAGUUAACCGACUUUGGAGUGGCCAGGAGGACCUCCUAAGUCCAGCUGGGGACCAGACUCCUGCCGUGUGGAUACAGACUCAUAAUAUGUCCCCUGGAGGACCAAACGUGUGUCUCUGAGGUCAAAGUGGAAGUCCAAACAGAUGCUUGAGAAUCCUCUGCAUCUAUUGGCCAAGACUGGUGUUUGGUCUCUUUGUGGACAAGUGUCUUCUGCUGCGCCACUUACAGCGCCCCCCAGCUGCAGGGAUAAGUCCAAUUGACUCUUCACACAGCUCUGAACUCAUAGACCUUGUCCAGUUAGAAGACUCACAUGUGAGCGCUGGAGUAGAGCACACAGACGCUGCUCCAGUCACCAAACCUCUGAAGCGAUCUCUUUUCCAUAGGGUUGGGAGAGUCCUAGAGUCAGAGAUUCUUUGUGUUGCUGUGUGCGUCCACAAGAAGACCACUGAGUGUUAAUAAAUGUAUUAUUAUCACACCA